UUUGUUAAAAUUUUCAUUUUGCCAGUGGCAUCAAGAGAGAGGAAGAUUCUUGAUUGCUUUGUAAUUCUUCAUAAUUGUGAAUGAUCAACUCACAGCCCUCAGUAUACCUGCCAAUGAACAAGAAGUUUCCUCAAUUUCCAAGAAUCAAGACUUUGUUUCUAGAUUAAAGGUUUCUUGAUGGUGUAAUGCAACUUUUGCUACUUAUAGUGUCCAUGAUUCAUCUCAAACAUUCUUCAUGGCUCAUGACUCAGCAUUCUUUUAGCUUCUGAAAUUAAAGCUUGGUGAUGUCACUAGUCAAGAGGUAGCCAACCACUUGCUUAUUUCCAUCCUGGUGAGUUUGUCAGACCACAUGGUGGCUUUUUAUUUAAGUCCUCAGAAGGGUUGGUUACCUAAGCUUACAACAUGCUGGAGCAGGCUGAUGAGCUUGGUGCAUUCAGAUUUCUGGGUUCCAGGCUGCACUGCUCUUUUCCCACAAACUGCAGCUACCCAGCAGGAUGAGCUGAAACUGAAAAUAUUCAAGGACGGACAAAGGUUCAAACUGAUGAAACAACCACUCAUGAGUAAUAUGGGCUCCAAGUCUAAUGCCACAAGAUGCCCUCAAGUCCCCUUUCCAGUUAAAUGUCCUGCACACUGAAGUGGGUUUCCUGGAAA
rnacentral:lncRNA from 1 species